ensembl:lncRNA novel transcript
CGUCAUCUCAAGAUGAAGCUGCCAUGUUUGCUGUUGAAAGCGGAGAGAAAGCAUGGAAAUGGCACACUGGCUCUCAAAUGCCUGGAUGUGACAAACAAUGCUUCUGCUCCUGUAUUGGUGUAAAGGAAAAGUCACAUGAUCCUAACUGCAAGGACUUUACUGUUCCCAUGUGUCCAGGAAGGAGACAGAGACAAAAUGUGGGAGGAGUUUCUGAGAAGGCCAAAUUUACCUUGAAGUUCUCCAGCGUUUUCCAGUGUCAAAUAUGUGACUGAUGUUUUCAAACAUACGAUCACAACUAACUGUUCAAGAAUCUUGAAAGUCUCAGCAGGAAGGCUUUCCUUUGUAAUAUCCUUUAAAUCCUUAGUAGGCUGAGAAUUGUUCCUCCAUUUGAUUCCCGGUCAAAAUGUUAACCUGUGAAUUUCUGCUACCCUCCACACGCCUGUACACCUGUCGAGGUAGGCACGCUGAAGGCCAGUAUUUUCCUGUGGAGCAGGUAAACAGACAAGAAACAGAAGGCUGCUUAAUUAUUCCUCUUUCAUUAGAGUUGACAUGUUUUCAAGGUAUAGUUUUUAAACUCCUGGAGGACUCCAGAAAUUUAGGAAUUCAGCCUCAGUAAGUAGAUGUUUGUUCCACUGGGGUUUCCCAAGGUUUUUCUCAUCUAAUACUCAUGAGAGACGGUUUGCUCUUUGAUCAUUUAUCUGUGCAUGUAUUCAGAGGCGAAUUCCAAAAGGACGCCCUGUGAAAGUCCGAUUUCAAGUAUCAAGGUGGUUCCAAAUCCCUCUAACUUCAGGGUGACAUCACACAAGAACCCUUAGAUAAUAUGGCGAAUCAGACUCCUCAGCCCAUUC